AUUGGACGCUGGCGGCAGGCCUAACACAUGCAAGUCGAGCGGAUGAAGGGAGCUUGCUCCUGGAUUCAGCGGCGGACGGGUGAGUAAUGCCUAGGAAUCUGCCUGGUAGUGGGGGAUAACGUCCGGAAACGGGCGCUAAUACCGCAUACGUCCUGAGGGAGAAAGUGGGGGAUCUUCGGACCUCACGCUAUCAGAUGAGCCUAGGUCGGAUUAGCUAGUUGGUGGGGUAAAGGCCUACCAAGGCGACGAUCCGUAACUGGUCUGAGAGGAUGAUCAGUCACACUGGAACUGAGACACGGUCCAGACUCCUACGGGAGGCAGCAGUGGGGAAUAUUGGACAAUGGGCGCAAGCCUGAUCCAGCCCUGCCGCGUGUGUGAAGAAGGUCUUCCGAUUUGAAAACACCUUAAGUUGGGGAGGAGGACAGUAAGUUUAUACCUUGCUGUUUUGACGUUACCGACAGAAUAAGCACCGGCUAACUUCGUG
rnacentral:rRNA from 1 species